CCAUUUCUUGACUGGAUUUUUGUUGUUUAGGUGUUGAGUUUGUAGGUGAAUGGAUAAACUGUGGAAUACCCAGUGGGAUACUGUUUGGCGAUAAAGGGACUGAGCUACUGAUUCACGCAUCAACAUGAAGAAAUCUGAAAUACAUUUUGCUGGUCUCUUCAAUAAAUGGUGUUCAGAGAAUUGGACUACUAUACGGAAGAAUGAAACUCAACUAUUCUCUUAUACCAUUCACAAAGAUUAACUCUAAAUGGAUGAAAGACCUCAAUGAGUCA